rnacentral:rRNA from 1 species
UGGCGGACGGGUGAGUAACACGUGGGUAACCUGCCCUUAAGUGGGGGAUAACAUUUGGAAACAGAUGCUAAUACCGCAUAGAUCCAAGAACCGCAUGGUUCUUGGCUGAAAGAUGGCGUAAGCUAUCGCUUUUGGAUGGACCCGCGGCGUAUUAGCUAGUUGGUGAGGUAACGGCUCACCAAGGCGAUGAUACGUAGCCGAACUGAGAGGUUGAUCGGCCACAUUGGGACUGAGACACGGCCCAAACUCCUACGGGAGGCAGCAGUAGGGAAUCUUCCACAAUGGACGCAAGUCUGAUGGAGCAACGCCGCGUGAGUGAAGAAGGCUUUCGGGUCGUAAAACUCUGUUGUUGGAGAAGAAUGGUCGGCAGAGUAACUGUUGUCGGCGUGACGGUAUCCAAUCAGAAAGCCACGGCUAACUACGUGCCAGCAGCCGCGGUAAUACGUAGGUGGCAAGCGUUAUCCGGAUUUAUUGGGCGUAAAGCGAGCGCAGGCGGUUUUUUAAGUCUGAUGUGAAAGCCCUCGGCUUAACCGAGGAAGCGCAUCGGAAACUGGGAAACUUGAGUGCAGAAGAGGACAGUGGAACUCCAUGUGUAGCGGUGAAAUGCGUAGAUAUAUGGAAGAACAC